rnacentral:rRNA from 1 species
GACAGAGGGUGCAAACGUUGUUCGGAAUUACUGGGCGUAAAGCGUGUGUAGGCGGUCUCUUAAGUCGAAUGUGAAAGCCCCCGGCUCAACUGGGGAGGGUCAUUCGAUACUGUUCGACUCGAAGGCAGGAGAGGGAAGUGGAAUUCCCGGUGUAGUGGUGAAAUGCGUAGAUAUCGGGAGGAACACCAGUGGCGAAGGCGACUUCCUGGCCUGUUCUUGACGCUGAGGCGCGAAAGCUAGGGGAGCAAACGGG